AUUGAACGCUGGCGGCAGGCCUAACACAUGCAAGUCGAGCGCGAAAGGGUUUCGGCCUGAGUAGAGCGGCGGACGGGUGAGGAAUGCAUGGGAAUCUGCCUGGUAGUGGGGGAUAACGCGGGGAAACUCGCGCCAAUACCGCAUACGUCCUACGGUAGAAAGUGGAGGAACUUCGGGCCUCACGCCAUCAGCGGAGCCCAUGCCGGAUUAGCUAGUUGGUAGGGUAAAGGCCUACCAAGGCGACGAUCCGUAGCUGGUCUGAGAGGAUGAUCAGCCACACCGGAACUGAGACACGGUCCGGACUCCUACGGGAGGCAGCAGUGGGGAAUAUUGGACAAUGGGGGCAACCCUGAUCCAGCCAUGCCGCGUGUGUGAAGAAGGCCUUCGGGUUGUAAAGCACUUUCAGCGGGGAGGAAGGCAUCAUGGUUAAUAACCAUGUUGAUUGACGUUACCCGCAGAAGAAGCACCGGCUAACUCUGUGCCAGCCGCCGCAGUAA
rnacentral:rRNA from 1 species